rnacentral:lncRNA from 1 species
UCCGUUAUUUCAUCUCUUCCAGAGGUUGCAGGGGCAUCCUCUCCCAUGUAAACAACCAUUGCUGUGCUCCCUUUGAUCAUCUCCUCUUCUUUGUUGCCUUCUCUCCGACACCUUUUAAACUCAAACUUUUUAGGGGUUAUUACUGAAUAAAUGUGGUUAUCUGAAAAUGCUCUCUCAAUAAGCUGAGAACACUGUCCGAAAGAAGAAAAUGAAGAAAAAAAAUAUUUAUCCUCAACUGCAGAGAUGAGGACGUUGAGAUGCACUGGUUGUCCAAAAAAAGAAAAUGAAAAAAAUGCCGGUCACUAGAGUGGAGAGAAGACAAAGCGGUAUUUUGGAAGAGA